GUGUCUUAGAGAGUAUCAAAUAAAUAAGGGCCUGAAACUUAAGUUUCUCUAGCUCCAUUGUACAUCUGCCUCUGGGUUAGCCAGAUACGAAGAUGAAGCACAAAGGCAGUAAAGCCAGGUCUGCUGGGUUCAAAUCUCAGCUCCACCACUCACCACUUACUAACUGUACCAGCUUGUCUCCCCAUGCCUCAGUCCCCUCAUCAGGAAAAUGUGUUUGAAAAUAAUAUCCGGGCCAGUACAUGGUAACCUCAGCAAGUUGGGAGGCCCAGGCAGGAGGAUCGCUUGAGCCCCGCUCAAGACCAGCCUGGGCAAUAUAGUGAGACCCCAAGUAAUACUAUUACCAAAAAUAAAAAGAAUGAGCCAGGUAUGGUGGCACACACCUGUGGUCCCAGUUACUAAGGAGGCUGAGGUGGGAGCAUCACUUAAGCCUGGGAGGUCGAGGCUGCAGUGAGCCGUGAUUGUGCCAUUGCAUUCCAGCCUGAGCGACAGAGCGAUACCCUCUCUCAAAAAAAAAAAAAAAAAAAAAGGAAAUAAUACUGCUUCACAGGGCUGUCUAGGGCUGUCGUAUGCAUGAAAUGACAUAACACUUGUACUUGGAGCAUCACUUAAUUUCAGGUGUAAGCACUCAACAGUGCUAACUAUGAAUCGCUCCUCACCAAGCUUGGACGUCUACACUAGCAUGACGCUGUUUGAGGUUUUAGACACUGCCCUGAUUCCUCACAGUUCUGACCAAGAACCUGAAACUGAGGUCGGAAUAUUGCCUUCUAUUCCUCCCAUUUCUGCCUGGGGGUCCUGGUUCUGUCCUUACUGUCCUUACGGAAACUCUACCUCACCAGUUUUGCAAUGGCCUCUGUGGGGUCCCCCAGUAACCCUUCUCCCCUACUUCACUUUCUUUCUGUGCCCUGACCAAGAAUCACAGAGUGUCCUGACAGCUCUUCACCCAGCCAGGUGCAAGCUUCUCCCAGCACGCCCAAACCCAAACCGGGCCCAAACCGGAGUCUCGAACAUUCCCAGACACUCAUUAAGGUCUCGAGGUUGUCGCCCGAAACACGGAAAGAAACUGGCCCUGGCCCCUAACCAAAUUUCUUAAAACUCUCACAUUCCAUAAUCCCUGAACCCCUCACUGCAGACACACGCAGGUAGAACACCUUUUUUUUGAGAUGGAGUUUCACUCUGUCACCCAGGCUGAAGUGCAGUGGAGUGGUCUCAGCUCACUGCAGCCUCUGCCUCCCGGGUUCAAGCAAUUCUCGUGUCUCAGCCUCUUGAGUAGCUGAGAUUACAGGCGCAUACCACCACGCCCUGCUAAUUUUUGUAUUUUUAGUAGAGACGGGGUUUCACCACGUUGGCCAGGCUGGUCUUGAACUCCUGACCUCAGGUGAUCCGCCCGCCUCAGCCUCCCAAAGAGCUGGGAUUACAGGUUUGAGCCACUGUGCCCAGUCUCUCUUUUUUUUUUUUCUGGUUAUUAUAUAAAUACUUUUUAAAAAUGUAAUUUAAUUUUCAGUUCUGGAAUGUAUGUGCAGGACACGCAGGUUUGUUACAUAGGUAAACAUGUGCCACGGUGGUUUGCUGAACCUAUCACCCCGUCAUUUAGGUAUUUAAGCCCCGCAUGUAUUCACUAUUUAUCUUGAUGUUCUCCCUCCCCCUGCCCCACCGACAGGCCCCAGUGUGUGUUGUUCCCCUCCCUGUGUCCAUACAGAGCACCCCUUUCUCUCCAAGGAUCGCUGUGGCCUCUGUAAGCUCCCCUCAUAACUGCUCUGAACUGAGCACCCUGCUGAUGAGGGCUUCUUUCUUUGGAAUCCCAAUCGACCCCAUCCUGGAACAGUUCAGAGUACUCCCUUGUGGGAAUUCCCCCGCCGCUGCUUUUGGGGUGAUUCCAGCGUUGGGUUGGCUGGACAAAACAGCCUCGAAGCAUACUGCCCCAAAUCUGGUCCUUCUGAGUUUCUGAUUCCCUCACUCUUCAUCUCUUAUGACGCCUUCCUAAACAUUCCUGAGAGUUUCAAACAUUGUCUUUCAUUUGACUCAGGGAUUCAUCAUCCGCUUCCUGUUGAAAUAGUAAACGCCUCCACAUGGACUCACGGGUUCACCUCCUUCCGGUCUGAACAGUGAACUCCUCCGCAUCAACUCACCCAUUCACCCCUUCCGGUCUAAACAGUGAACGCCUCCGCAUGGACUCACGAGUUCACCUCCUUCCGGUCUAAACAGUGAACGCCUCCGCAUCGACUCACGGGUUCACCUCCUUCCGGUCUGAACAGUGAACUCCUCCGCAUGGACUCACGGGUUCACCUCCUUCCGGUCUGAACAGUGAACGCCUCCGCAUCGACUCACGGGUUCACCUCCUUCCGGUCUGAACAGUGAACUCCUCCGCAUGGACUCACGGGUUCACCUCCUUCCGGUCUGAACAGUGAACUCCUCCGCAUCGACUCACGGGUUCACCUCCUUCCGGUCUGAACAGUGAACUCCUCCGCAUGGACUCACGGGUUCACCUCCUUCCGGUCUGAACAGUGAACUCCGCAUCGACUCACGCGUUCACCUCCUUCCGGUCUAAAUGGUAAACUCCUCUGCAUUUUCUGUUCGGUUCUAUUUUGGUGGGGCCCACGCGUCAUCACAGAGUAUCUGGGAGCCCUGCCCUCUUGCAGAUGGGAAUGAAGGCCCAGGUGCUCUGGAGAGGUGACUCUCCUCUAGUUGUCUCGCUUCUCAGAAAGGAAACACUGGUUCUGUAAACCUGUUUGAGAAGAAAAGCUCGAGGUUUCUUGGCCUCUCUGCUUCUGGAGCCAGGGGAAAAAAUAGCCCCAGGCUGAAGACAGGAGGGACCAGAUUGCUGCUUGGUGAUGCGAUCUCACUGCAGAGGCAGCCAGGAGACCCUCCUGAGACGAAUCGGAGAGUCCAUGCUGCUUUUACACACAUCCUAGUUCUUUUAUAACUAGCCUUUUCCUAUUAACGGACAUCAUUCAAAAGCCAGUUUUAAGCAACAUAAAUAUUGAAAACAAUACUAUACUAUUUAGAAUUAAUUAUAAGUUUUGUUUUUAAAGCCUAAAUCUUUUAUUGUUGUUUGAACCCUGGGCACUGAAGCUAAUAAUGUAACUUUUCUCCCUUCUUUCUUCUUUGGCAUAGAUUUAAAGAACUGUUAGACUCAUUUAAAAUGCUAUUAGGCAUUUUAAAGAGUAAUUGUUAAAUGUGUUGUCUCUUGUGGGACUGGAAAUGUUCUGUUCUUAUCUGGCGCUGGUUACAUCCUGUUUUUCAUUUGGGAAAGUGCAUUGAGCUGGAAAUUUAUAUGUUCAAUUUCUGUAUGUAAAUUGUACUUCAGUAAAAAUUUUCAAAAAAGUGGCUGCCUUUUAUAGCAGGUGUCCCAUGCGCAUAUAUAUAUAUAUAUAUAUAUAUUUUUUUUUUUUUAAGAAGAUGACCUCAAGACCAAGACCUGUUUAAAGGUGGGGAAGGAAGCAGGAUUUGGCAGAGGGAUAAGUCUAGCUGCCAUGCAGGGACAGCUACAGGCUGCCUCAGCCACACACAGGGCGCCCUGGAGCUAAAUUGGCUCUGCAAACUAGCCUGGCUGGAGUUGGACUGAGAUAUCCUAGCCGUUAGGCACUCUUGGGCAAGGUGGCUCCCCCAGCCGAGGCAGUUCCUGAAGGGGCUGACAGCUGCAGUCAGUCUAUCUGCCCAG
rnacentral:lncRNA from 1 species